rnacentral:ncRNA from 1 species
CAACAAACUAGGCUAGCUACCGAAAAGCAGACCUGUGAACUGCCUGUUUGUUGUUUGCUAUUCACA